rnacentral:rRNA from 1 species
UGGACUUGACAUCUGUUGAAUCUUUUGGAAACUUAAGAGUGCCUCUUCGUGGGAACGACAAGAC